UACGGAGGGUGCAAGCGUUAUCCGGCCUCACCGGGUUUAAAGGGUGCGUAGGCGGUUACGUAAGUCAGGCGUGAAAUUUCUUGGCAUAACCAAAGAGACUGCGAUUGAUACUGUGUAACUUGAAUAGAGUUGAGGUAUGCGGAAUGUGACAUGUAGCGGUGAAAUGCAUAGAUAUGUCAUAGAACACCGAUUGCGAAGGCAGCAUGCUGGGCUUUAAUUGACGCUGAGGCAUGAAAGCGGGGGGAGCAAACAGG
rnacentral:rRNA from 1 species